GUGUGUCUGUAGAGGAAGACCUUCCGCCGGGGGAAUCUAACGCACAGCUCCAUGCUAGGUGGGCUGAUCAGAGUGUGUCUGUAGAGGACUGUAUGGUUUGGUAGGAAUGAAUUUGCUGAAUUGAUGCAGAUUUUAUACAUUAGUCCGGCGGUUUAUUAAAAACAGAAUCUGAAGGGUGAAUGUCUUUCAUCAGGUCACAAAAGGACAUGUACGCAAGGUCACACACACAUGGCACGAAGGUGUUUACGCACACGCUCACGUGCAUGUACACACACACAAAUAAAAAAGCGUCCAACACAGCAGUGAUUAGACACCAGAUCAGCUUACACCAUAUUUCAUCAUCACUGUAGAUGCUAUUGAUCUCUCCCUCUCCCUCUCUCCCUCUCCCUCACUAUCCCCUCCCCCUCCCUCCCCUUCCCUCUCUACCUCCCUCUCUAUCCCCCUCCUCUCCCGCUCCCCUUCACUCCCUCCCUCUCUCUCCCUACACCUGACUCCCUCCCCUCUCCACGUCCCCCCUCCCGCGUCCUGUCUCCGUUGAAGGGCACCCUUUAUCCUCUCUCGCUCCGUUCCCCAUAAAUCUUCAGACUUCCUCGAGGAACUGUUCUGAUCCACGCCCAGACAGAGGGCCGGUCCACAGGUCCACUGACGGCCUUCUGAUGCAGAGGGACACGCAACCUCGGUCCGCGUGCGGCCAUGUUGCCAUGGCUCCCUCUCAUCCGCUCUGAGGAGGAGAGGAGCACAACGUGCUGAAUCAGCAUCUCUGAGUCCAGCAGAAGCAGACGAUCCAACCUGAGCCAGACGCGUCGGACCCCAGGGCCCUGCUUCAUAGAAAGUAAAUAGAGACACGCUAAGCUCGCGUGUUAAUAAAGUUUACUUCACACCCUUCUGACGUGCAGCAGCCGACAGAGCGAUACGGUUCCACCCGACCUACCCGUCAUGAGACGGUCUGAUCCUGGAUCGGACGGCCAAACUGACCCAUGUGGACGUCAGUGUUUACAGCUAGCCUCUCGAAACUAUCAAACACUUUAGAGGCGAAAAAAACAGACUCUGAUCAUGUUUGGUGGAGCCGGCCGGCUGUCUUACCUCAACAAAAAUAAAACAGUCAACUGACAGCGGAGCUCCCAGCUGGAGGCUGGAGGCUCCCCGCCUCCCGGUGCUCCGUUCAGCGCCGUGAGGCGGCUUUAACGGGCUUCGGGUUCUUCCAGUGAAGUUGUGGUACUUUUUACUCACGUCCGCCGCCUCAACCGUCAGCUGUUCUUUAGAUGAUUGUCUUCAAUUGACCGUAACGUAGUAACCCCCUUAUAUCAAACGGCCAGUAACGCCACCGUAUUGAAAUCAUCACACAGGCUCUGCUCUCAUUCCGACACAUGGAUUUAAGCCCAGGCUAUCCCCCACGGCGCCCUUCUUUGUCUGACGCUCAGGCUUCGAGGCUGAAGGAGCACACCGGCUGACGAUUCAGCGGGAGGUGCGGGAGCCCUUUAAACGGGGCGUCGCGCGGUUCCUGGUCCGACUCCCCGGUCUGGGGUCGGCGUGCAGCAGUGCAUCACGCGCGACCGAUCGGGCGGCGCGACCGACCAGCGGCGCGCUCACUCGGUGCGAUAGCGGCGUAGCGGCAUAGCGUGCAUACUCAGCAGAAACAAUAUCUCGAUACUCAGCACUUGUCGAACAAUGAUUUCCUUUUUGUUUGUUUUCUAAAUAGACAAAACGACUUACCCAGAAUCAAAGUGUCCCUGACCUCAGGACGGAUUCGUGGACGCGCGGUGGCCAACUUGGUGAUGAGGAGGAGCAGGUUUUACGCGCGGACCCCAGAUCGGUCCUCCACGCUCUCCUCGACGGUCCUCUGGUCGGAGGAGACGUCAGAUGAUGUUUGGAUCACAUGGUUUCAUUCAUGAACGAUACACGGGACUGCCACUUAAAGAGACACGCUACAGCGUGAUGUCUGUUAUUGUUGUAGUAAGGGGAAGGGGAAGGGGAAGGCUGAGAGCAGACGACCCUCAGUACAUUCUACUGGAACCUGUAGUUAGUCUGAUAAAAUAGUCCUUAUAAUAAUAACUGACAAAUGAACCGAUACCAAUAACAUUAACAAUCUUAAAAUAACUGGACUUUUUUUUCUAAAAAGAAAAUACCUACAUUAAAUGUAGGCUGUCAUUUUAAGAUGGUUGUAAAUUAUUUAGCAUAAUUGUGCUAAGCUAAUUGUGGGUAAUAAAGUUAAUUCAAGAGA